UACAGGGGGGGCAAGCGUUGUUCGGAAUUACUGGGCGUAAAGGGCCAGUAGGCGGCCAACUAAGUCCGACGUGAAAUCCCAAAGCUUAACUUUGGAACUGCGUCGGAUACUGGAUGGCUUGAAUUCGGGAGAGGGAUGCAGAAUUCCAGGUGUAGCGGUGAAAUGCGCAGAUAUCAGGAGGAACACCAAUGGCGAAGGCAGCUCGCUGGGACGGUACUGACGCUGAGGCGCGAAAGCGUGGGGAGCGAACAGG
rnacentral:rRNA from 1 species